rnacentral:rRNA from 1 species
GACGAACGCUGGCGGCGUGCUUAACACAUGCAAGUCGAACGGAAAGGCCCUGCUUUUGUGGGGUUCUCGAGUGGCGAACGGGUGAGUAACACGUGAGUAACCUGCCCUUGACUUUGGUAUAACUUCAGGAAACUGGGGCUACUACCGUAUAGGAUCUCCUGCUGCAUGGUGGGGGUUGGAAAGUUUCGGCGGUUGGGGAUGGACUCGCGGCUUAUCAGCUUGUUGGUGGGGUAGUGGCUUACCAAGGCUUUGACGGGUAGCCGGCCUGAGAGGGUGAACGGCCACAUUGGGACUGAGAUACGGACCAGACUCCUACGGGAGGCAGCAGUGGGGAAUAUUGCACAAUGGGCGGAAGCCUGAUGCAGAAACGCCGCGUGCGGGAUGACGGCCUUCGGGUUGUAAAACGCUUUAGCCUGUGACGAAGCGUGAGUGACGGUAAUGGGUAAAGAAGCACCGGCUAACUACGUG